rnacentral:ribozyme from 14 species
UGAAAGAAAAUAAUCAAAAAUAUUGAUUUAAUAAUUGCACUACAAUUCAUUAAUUUCCAAUUUUCUCUUUUUCUUCUUUUUUUUAUGUUGUUUUUCUUCAUGCAAUGAUGAUAUUA